GGCGAGUGGCGAACGGGUGAGUAAUACAUCGGAACGUGUCCUAGAGUGGGGGAUAGCCCGGCGAAAGCCGGAUUAAUACCGCAUACGCUCGAGAGAGGAAAGCGGGGGAUCUUCGGACCUCGCGCUCAAGGGGCGGCCGAUGGCGGAUUAGCUAGUUGGUAGGGUAAAGGCCUACCAAGGCGACGAUCCGUAGCUGGUCUGAGAGGACGACCAGCCACACUGGGACUGAGACACGGCCCAGACUCCUACGGGAGGCAGCAGUGGGGAAUUUUGGACAAUGGGGGCAACCCUGAUCCAGCAAUGCCGCGUGUGUGAAGAAGGCCUUCGGGUUGUAAAGCACUUUUGUCCGGAAAGAAAUCCUCUGCCCUAAUAUGGCGGGGGGAUGACGGUACCGGAAGAAUAAGCACCGGCUAACUACGUGCCAGCAGCCGCGGUAAUACGUAGGGUGCGAGCGUUAAUCGGAAUUACUGGGCGUAAAGCGUGCGCAGGCGGUUCGCUAAGACCGAUGUGAAAUCCCCGGGCUUAACCUGGGAACUGCAUUGGUGACUGGCGAGCUAGAGUGUGGCAGAGGGGGGUAGAAUUCCACGUGUAGCAGUGAAAUGCGUAGAGAUGUGGAGGAAUACCGAUGGCGAAGGCAG
rnacentral:rRNA from 1 species